CUUGUCCUACGGGGGGCAGCAGUGGGGAAUAUUGCACAAUGGGGGAAACCCUGAUGCAGCGACGCCGCGUGAGUGAAGAAGUAUUUCGGUACGUAAAGCUCUAUCAGCAGGGAAGAAAUAAAGUCCUUCGGACUUUGGACGGUACCUGACUAAGAAGCCCCGGCUAACUACGUGCCAGCAGCCGCGGUAAUACGUAGGGAGCAAGCGUUAUCCGGAAUUAUUGGGUGUAAAGGGUGCGUAGACGGGAUGUCAAGUUAGUUGUGAAAUACCUCGGCUCAACUGAGG
rnacentral:rRNA from 1 species